GACAACAAAAAUAACCACUAAUCCAUAAUUUCACAGUACCAACAACAUAACAAAAUAAUGUAAACUAUUUGAACCGUAUAACUAGUGUUAUUUUGUCUAAUAAUUAGUGAGUUAGAUAGCUAGCUAUAAUACAAGACAAUAAAGGGUACAUAAAAACUUCUGACACUUGAACAUAUGAUGAAGUCUUCCACAUGUCAAAUAUUUCGACAUCAUAACCUGAAAUAAUAAAAUAAGAUGGAUAUCAACAUUAUUUAUGAUAGGACAUAGUAUUACUACUGCUUUAUAACAUUUGACUACUAACAAUCAGACUCUGCACUUUGUCUAUGCACUUAUUUGUAACAAUAGUCCUAUUUGCAAGAAAUUAAAUUGUAUAGGCACAAUUUCGAGCUGGAGAACAAAAGUAUAGAUCCCAAAAUAUAUGUGCUUCAAAACUUAGAUAUGCAUAAAGAAUAAUUUAAAGAUAUUCAACUUAAAGUAAUUGGUUUGAAUCUAAGCUUUUCAUGAGGUGCAAGCUAGAAAGAAACUUUAAAGAUUAUAGCAUUUAUACAAGCUUUGCCAACGUGUAUUAUAUUUGCGUUCAAUAAUUACCUAUAUACUUUUAUUUGUUUUGUUUUUGGUUAAGCCCGCUAAAUGAAUAAGAGAAAUUACAUGAAGUUCCUCAAAUAAAAAAUGCAUAGAGGAGUACAAAAUCUAUUUUAAAUUAAGACUACAUACUAAAAGUUUACUUGGAGAAAGAAUCAAACAUUUAUAAACUAAUAAAAUCCUCGCUAGCUAAGUUACAAAUUAAGAGAGAGCAUACUAAUAAACAUUUACAGUGAAGAGUUGCAGAAACGGGAAUGGGCUUUUUGAGUGUUUGUACAUACUUGUUAGAUUUGCCAGAGAAGAUUUCAGGGAUUGAGAAUUCGAUUUGUUGUUCCUAUUGUAUAACAUUUUGCUUAGUAAAGUAAGGUGGUAGAGUUUUCUACCGCAUACAACAAAAGAAAGUUGUAAAUGACCAAACUCGUAUAUUAACAUUCCAUGGAGUACGCAAACAAUCAGAAUGCAAAUAUCGAUGAAAUGAAAGACAAAAACUCAUGUCGAACCUGGCUUGUUGGGUGUUUCUUGUUUUGCUUUCUUUGCCAGAGCCAGGAGCUACUUAGGAGAUGGAGCUGGUCUCUUUUUCUUUUCAACCUUCAUCAUAAAACAUCAAUCACAUAAAAGACAAUGCUAAUUAAGAUAAAUGAAAAAAAUGAACAAACAUAAAGAUAAAAAAUUUAGUACUACCUCUUUUUGAUGUCUCUUCUUCUAAAUCUUCAUCUCCAUCCAAAUCAUCAAAAAAAUCCAUUACUUAAGGACCAUAAAAAUCCUAGUAAUCCAAAAUUUAAAAAAACUACCUACACCCGGAAAAAAUAUAAGAUAAAGCAUUUCUCCCUGUAUUAAAAGGUAAAAUCUACAUAAUAAGCAUCACAAAAAACUUUAUGAAUGGCAUAGGCACAUCACUGGAGACAUCAUCACUACCAUCUUCAUUAUCCGAGUCAUCUUCAAAAUCAUCAUCAUCUUUGUUAGAUGUCGGUUCUUUUUUUGGUUCUGCCACCUUCGCAUUUUUCUCAAUAAAUGCAACCUUAGUAAGUGCAGACUUUUUUGAAUCAUGCUUUAUAUCCUUCACAUUAUCCUCAAGUUUUCCAUUUAUGCAUCUAAAACAUUCUCUUCAUGUAAAAAAAUAUCACCUCUAGAAUCAAUUUCAUCAACGCUCAGAUCAUCAAUUGUGCAUACAAUUAAAUACACACUCCCAUUUGUUUUAGUCAUGACUCAUGUAAAAUUUUAAACUCCUUUUCAAGGACCAAGUCAAACAUCAACUAAGGUCUAUCCUCUGCCGGUAGAGUUCCAAUGAUGUAAUUAUUUUCUCCAACAGUUAGGCGUAGAGGAACAUGUUUUACUUCUUUGGCAUACUUCACUUCAUCUAUUGCAGCCUACAAAAUAAAGAUCCCUAAUAGCCAUUUAAGAGUAAAGCCACAUUAUGCUAGCUUGAGAAAGAACACAAAUAUAAUUUAUUUAUUUUUAAAAAAAGAAAGCUAACCUUGUAAAUAUGAAUGAGCUUAUAAAGUUCAGGCUUGAUUUAGAAAUCGUCUUACUUUCACUUCAACACCUACACAUAGCUCAUGUGAAAGAUAUGUCACACUUUAAUAAAUUAUGUUCAUAUGGUGUAAUUUCUGCAUCAUGAAAAUAAUUGACCAAAACCGUUAAGGUAUAGAUUAAAAAAAUAAGCACAUGUGUUAGUGGUUCAAUUUAUGUAUAUACAUAUACAAACCGAUCUAUACCUUUUUCUAGUUAUUUGGUUUUGAUUCUAGUAUGCAAUUUUAACUCCUAUUUUCUCUGCAUCUAGUUGCUAGAAACAUAAAAAAAUUCCUUUAAAUGAUACAAACAUCUGUAGCAGAAAAAUCAUGACGUCUUAAGCCUUCAAGAUUCAAUCCAUGAAGCUUAACUUUUUUUCUCAGAUACAAUAAUAUACUUUGGAACAUCGUUAGAAACCUGGAGAACAAAAUGACUAAGAUCCUAAAAAGAUAUGUGAUCUUAAAUAUAGUUAGUGUGUUGCAGUCGUAUAAUAUAUGUGGAUCUUUUUCAUUCCUUGGUGGUGGUUCAGUGGUAAGAUUCUUUCUUAAUUUUUGAUGUCUUUUAAUUCUUUGAAAGACUCAAUACUCCUCGUAUGAUAAAUUAAGAUAUCAAUAGUUUCAUAUUUUGGUUGUUUUUCCUAAAUGCAAACAUAAUUCAAGAUAGCAAUACAUCUGUAAUUGCUAUACUUUUAAGUUUGUUUGUGAGAUGCACCUCAUUAAAGUUUAGUUUCGAACCACUUACUUUAAGUUGAAUAUAUUAAAAUUAGGUCUUCUACAUUUCUCAGAUUGAAAGCACAUGAACCAAUACGGUAAAUUAAUGAACAACAAUAGCUCCUGUAGUGUGGCCGUAGUCCUGUAUGUGAAGAAUUUAAAUUAUCAUCUAUCAGUUAUACUAAAUUUCCAGAAUAGGUCAUGCCUCAUGAAAAUGACUAAAACGAAAUAGUCAACCACAACAUGACCUGCAAGAAAUGUGGUGUUUUUCACUAGAAAGCAAUACAUAUUCUUUCAAUACGUUAAAACUAAAGUGUAUCUAUUUGAAGAUACAAAGAUUUAGUUGGUUGUGUAUAUACAAGGACAUCAAUUAAGAUUUCAGUCUCAAGUUUAUUCAUUUCCAAAUUUUCUAUAAUGGAUCUAAGAACGGAUUGAAGCUUUUAUCUGUAAGAGUUAUUGGCAUUCCACACAAGUUGAAUUAGAUUAGCCUUAUAUGAAACAAAUGCAUUAAUACUACAAAGUAGAAAUAUAUUCUUUUGCUUUGAUCGCUCAUUUAUUUCCUAUUAGUAUAGUAAAUUUUUAAUCAAACAUGAGUUCAUGAAGGAAUUUUUUUAUCCCUUAUAAACUUAUUAGUGAAUCAAAAGCUACUUAAUCUUUGCAAGAGAGUGAUAAGCAGUAUAACACAAUUAUAGCAUCCAAAUUACAAAUGACAUAAUAAUGCAUGAGGGAUAUCUUAAUAAAAUCAAAUUUCCUAUAACUUCUGGGAUUAUAUUUAUAGGAAAACAAGGAAUUUCACCUCAAAGGGAUAAGGGGCAGAACACAUAGGGUACAACCUCCACUAAUAAUACUGAUAAUUAUCACUAGCGAUAGUAAUAUUUUUGAGAUAGAACAAGAAAUAGUAUUGUUAUACUUUGUGGAUACACUCUACUCCAAGAUUUUCCUGAUCGGGACCUAGACUUUAGGUACUUUUUUAACACAUGAAUUUGUACAUCAGCAAAUCUACACAGGAAAGAAGCACAUACAUGAAGAAAGUAAUCUGAAGAUCUCAUUCAGUAACCUCUAAAAAUUCAUAAGCAUUUUUAUUUCCUAAAAUCUUAUACUCUUAGGAAACAUAAAUUGAUUGGAGUACACACACUAAUUCACCAACCUCUAAAAUUUCAAGAGAAUUUAGAUUUCCUAGCUUCUUACAAUUCCGCAGCAAUAAGACUCAAAGUCCUUCAAAUAUCGAUAGUUGAUGUUUGGAUAAAAGACAACUAGAAGGGACACUCUCCUCUCAUCUUCAAUGUUUCUCUCUUUGGUGAAUUCAACAUACAUAAUCUAAUGUUAUUCCUGUUUGAUCAAAAUAUUCAUCCGAGAACCUACGUUAUUUGGUAAUCAUACAGACAUAUAUUCAUGUGCGCUCUAGUUAUAUACAAACAUGAUUAUUCAAGAAAUCACCAUCCAUGUUUUUACAUAACUUCAAUUAGACUACAGAUCACACAUUAGUCACCUUAUAAUGUAAUAUAUAUUGAUGUUUUCAAGAAAUUAAAACAAAUCUCAAUCACAGAGAGAUCUGAAUGCUAUAGAUUCAGGUAAAAAACAUCAAUUUUUAUUAAUGAUACACAGAGAACUUCUGAACAACCAAAGUAAAGAUAAAAGAAUCGGCGAAACAGAGGAAUCAAAUCAAGUGAUUUUCCAUCAAUUCAACAGCAGUCAGAGAUCAUAUAUUAUGAUUUAACAAACUCAAGAAAUCUAUAAUUUCACAAAUCAUAGAUUGCCAUAGUUAGACAUCACAAAAUGCAAUUUGACAUGGUAUCAAGUAUUUCGGUACUUGAUAAGAAGAAUAUUUUACCAAAAAAGACCAAAAUGUUAAGGAGAAGAAUUAUUAAGGUAACAAUCUGAAACUUACAUGAAUGUAGAAGAUGAAGAUGAUGACAAGGAGAAGAUUUAAACAUCGGUGGUUCAGCAAUAUCGACCUAAAGUCAUGACUCUGACUAUAAAUAGAUGAUGUCUAGUGAUGGGUAAGGCUACCAUAGAAGAUGAUCAGCGUAUAUGGCAGUCAUGGUGCCGCGAGGCGGAGAGCUUUAGAGCAGCAAUGUGGAAUUAGAAUGAGUAGGGUUUUUAGUUAUUUCUUUUUGUUAAUUAUUGGAGGAAACAUCUAAAUUCUAAUAGUGGUGAAAAACUAGGAGGGAAAAAUGACAAAAUUGUUUUCAAUUAGUAAUUUUUACGUGCAAAUUAUUUUUAUUGUCGGUAAAAAAUAAAUUUUAGUGGCCAAUGUUUAUGGGCCAGUAGUAUCUCAAUGUAAAUAAUUAAUUAGUGGCAAUUGACUUAUUAUCAUUAAAUAAUUAUCGCUAAAAGGCGCCUUUUUGUAGUAGUGUGAGGUUCAUAUGCAAGGCAAUACUAGCAAUACUAAUGUGGGAAUUGUGGAAAAGGAGAAAUGCAAGAAGGCAUGGAAAGGAAAUUACUUUUUAUAAGCUAGAGCAAAAAUGUCAGACCAUAAUAACACAGCUUAUAAGAAGUAAAUACCCGUGGAUAACAGUUCCUAAAGGGUGGGACACAAUUGUAGAGGUACUAAGAAGAUACAGGCCAAGAUUGCACUAUCACGCUGUGAGGUGGAUAAAACCGCAACAAGAUAAAUUUAAGUGCAACACGGAUGAAGCUAGCAGAGGUAACCCACCCUGGAGUAAGUUCUUACAGUUUCUGUAUUCGAGAUUACAAUUAAAGCUUGAUAUAUGCUGAAGCAGAUGCUUUAGGGGAUAGAAACACUAUGAAAGCAGAGACGAUAGCAAUUCUACAGGCACUUAGUUAUUGCAAGAGAAACAAUCUUCAAAACAUCAUUGUGGAAACAGAUUCGUUAGGAAUAACAAAAAUGCUUAGACAGGAAUGGAGGAUCCCAUGGGGCCAGGCAGAUGACAUACAAGAGAUAUAAGAGUUACAACAACAUGUUCAGGCACACAUACAACAUGUAUUCAGGGAAGCAAAUAAUCUAGCAAAUGAGGCAUGUGACCUAGAGGGGAAGAUUCAGACGCAAACAUAUCAACAACUAUGUAAAGGAAUUUUAAAUACUGAUAAAGCCCAAAUACCAUCACUGAGGAUUAGAACAAGGAAGAUUACAGUACAUGGGCAACAUCAUGAGUAGAGAAAGGAAUAAUAACAAAGCAGAACACAGAUAUGAUAUGUACAAUCAGUUUUGCCAAUACAAGGCAUACAUAACUGUGCAAAAGACUACGCUACAUAGCAUGAGCUUUCUCAACUUACAAAUUCCACCAGCAAAAGUUGAUGCCUUCAAAUUCAGAUGGUAUCUGGAGCUGAAGAAGAGAGCACGCUUCUUGGAAUCUCCUUCUCUGCCUCAGCUGGAAAUAAGGAGAUUAGAGGUGGAUGAGAGACGGCAAAAAGAGAACAGAGAAGAAGGAACUCACUCACUUGGAAUCUCUUAUACAGGAAGAUGCAGAUUUGGAGAAAGGAAGAGCUGAGGAGAAGCAGAGGCGGAUGAAUCCACAACACAAGCUCAACAGGUGAACAUAUUGAAGAAAGAGCCGGACCAAAUAGGGUUA
rnacentral:lncRNA from 1 species